CCUACGGGAGGCUGCAGUGGGGAAUAUUGGGCAAUGGGCGCAAGCCUGACCCAGCAACGCCGCGUGAAGGAAGAAGGCUUUCGGGUUGUAAACUUCUUUUGUCAGGGACGAAGCAAGUGACGGUACAUGACGAAUAAGCCACGGCUAACUACGUGCCAGCAGCCGCGGUAAUAAGUAGGUGGCAAGCGUUAUCCGGAUUUACUGGGGGUAACGGGCGUGUAGGGGGGGAGGCAAGUCAGAUGUGAAAACCACGGGCUCAACCUGUGGCCUGCAUUUGAAACUGUUUUUCUUGAGUGCUGGAGCGGCAAUCGGAAUUCCGUGUGUAGCGGUGAAAUGCGUAGAUAUACGGAGGAACACCAGUGGCGAAGGCGGAUUGCUUGACAGUAACUGACGCUGAGGCGCGAAAGCGUGGGGAGCAAACAGGAUUAGAUACCCGAGUAGUC
rnacentral:rRNA from 1 species